GUGCUCACUUUGGCAGCAUGUAUGACUAAAGUUGGAAUGACACAGAAACAUUAGCAUGGCCCCUACCCCAGGAUGACAUACAAAUACAAAGUUUGAUCACUUUU